rnacentral:SRP_RNA from 1 species
GCCGGGCGUGGUGGCGCGCGCCUGUAGUCCCAGCUACUCGGGAGGCUGAGGUGGGAGGAUCGCUUGAGUCCAGGAGUUCUGGGCUGCAGUGCGCUAUGCCGAUCGGGUGUCCGCACUAAGUUCGGCAUCAAUAUGGUGACCUCCCGGGAGCGGGGGACCACCAGGUUGCCUAAGGAGGGGUGAACUGGCCCAGGUCGGAAACGGAGCAGGUCAAAACUCCCGUGCUGAUCAGUAGUGGGAUCGCGCCUGUGAAUAGCCACUGCACUCCAGCCUGGGCAACAGAGUGAGACCCUGUCUCU